UUUCUCUGCGUCUGCCCGUGCUGGGGCGCGUCUGUGCGCCUGCGCUGGCGCUGUGCCUUUGGCGGGGCGGAGCUGCGUUCUCUUCAGCACAGACCUGGAGAGCAUCGCGAGGGCGGAGCUCCGUUUUCCUCUGCAGAGACUUCCGGGGUAUUGUGAUGACGGAGCAGCAUUCUACUCAGCACAGACCCGGGGUCUCCCUCUGUUGUCCAAUGCUGGAUUGUAGUAGUGCUAUCACAGCUGACUGCAGCCUCAACCUUCCAUGCUGAAGCGAUCCUCCCACCUCAUCCUCCCACGUCGCUGAGACUACAGGUGCUUGCCACUAUGCCCAACUAAUAUUUGGAAUUUUCGUAUACGUGGAUUCUAGAGGGGUGACAGCGAAACUAGGUGACCUCACAGUGACUCAAGCUACCGCUUACUGUUGAUUGUGACGAAAUGCCAGCUGAGGCACAUGCCUUGGGAGCUAAUUGGUUGCUGCCCUUGACCACUGUGAAGACUGCUGUGGGAAGGGUCGCUUUGGAUGCACUUGAGCAGAGGUCCCCAACCCCUGAGCCAUGGAGCGGCAACGAGCCACACAGCAGGAGGUGGGAACAUCCAGUUUCAGGAAAACAAGCUUAACACGCCCACUGAUUCUGCAUUAUGGUGGGACCAUCCAGUUUCAGGAAAACAAGCUUAACACGCCCACUGAUUCUACAUUAUGCUCCUACCUCCCGGCAGCCUCGCCAGGCCCAGAACUCUCUCCAGUCAGCCUCUACAGACCAAGCUCAUGACUCACAAUGGCCUAUUUAGGCCCAUACCCUACCUCACGGCAGUCUCCGCAGAUGAGCCUACUGCCUCACAACAGCCUCCACAGGCACAGCUCCAUCGUUACAAUGGCCUCUUUAGACCCAGCUCCUGCCUCCCAGCCUUCUCUCCAGGCCCUGAACUUUCUCCGUAAGUUGAGGUAGCUGGGACUGUAGGUAUACAUGAUGAUACUUGGCUAAUUUUUAAAUUGUUUUGCAGACAUGGGGUCUCACUUUGUUGGCCAGGCUGGUGUCAAACUAAUGGCCUCAAGUGACCCUUCCACCCCUGCCUCCCAUCCUCGAGGUAUGUGCCACCACAAGGGGCACUUGUUCAAUUUUCUAAAGAAAAAAUUUCUAAAGUAAGGCUGUGGGAUGAUGGCAGGAAGAUAAAAGAAAAACAGAAGAAUAAGUUAAAAUGACUUAUUCACACAUAUUCUUUUGACAGCAAGAAGAACUGUUAGUAUAUACAUUCCUUACAAACAAACAAAUGGCAGAUAAACAAUGUUGUAUAGGAACUUCAACACACACUGUACAAUAUUCCCACUUUGCUGACAUAAGUUAUGGAAAUUUCGUGGUUUCCUUGAGUGUCGCUACCAGUAUUUUGCUUCUCUGAUGAUUUUUAUCAACUUCCUCAUCUGUUAACUUCUCUCCAAGGUAUGUCAUGUCACGACAUGCUGCCGCUGCACGAACACGGCCAGUGUCUUCCUAUUAAACAUGUAGAAUGCUUUCCUAA